AUUGGAGCUGUAGCCACCAGCCUACGCCACAGCCACAGCCACAGCCACACCGGAUCCAAGCUGCAUCUGCAAUCUACACCGCAGCUUGCAGCAACGCGGGAUGCUUCACCCACUGAGUGAAGCCGGGGUGGAACCUGCAUCCUCAUUGACACUAUGUCAGGUUCUUAACCCACUGAGCCACAGCAGGAGCUCUUGUUCCUACUUCAUUGUACUGAUUUUUCCACCCAGUACCAGGGUGGAUGAGGAUGCUUUGUGCUGAUGACCUUACUUUUCACUUGGCAUAAGUGUUAGGGAACUAAACUUGGCUCUGCUUGCCUGUGCGCAGUAAAGCCAAUCUACUGACCCAGGGCUGUGGUGAAGAAAAGUAGCGUUUUUCGCAGGCACCACAUAAGGAGCCCAGGCAACUAAUGUUCAAAGGGCCCCGAGCUUCCAGCUGGCUUUCAAGGAAAGGUUUUGAAAGACAGGGUGAGGGAGAGGGUUGUGGGUCUUGUGAUCAGACCAUGGACCUUCUUCUGAUUGGUUGAUGGUGACAUCAUUGGGUUCCAACCAGACUGGGCUCUGCCUACUUGUAGUCAGCAUACAGGUAACUCCUCCCACCUGGUGGAGGUUUCAGUCUCAGCCAAAUUGCUCAAGGAUAUAGCUCAGAAUAUUAUCUGCAGCCCUUGAGGAGGAACCAAAAGUCUCUGACUUUGUUGAAUAGCUAAACUAAUAUUAUUUUUUCUUGCCUGACAGUUUCUCUUGGUCUCUGCAUUUUUUCACUUCUCUAAGUUUAUUCCUUGAAACUCAGGGAAGGCCUAGAAGGUUAAAGUUUUUCUACAAACAAGAGGCAGCUGGAGGACAUGGGAGGGCGGGUCUGCCCUGGGAAAGGCCCCCACAGGGUCCUGCUUGGUUACAGCAGGGCAUGUGUCCUGCAAGAAGACAUGUGUCCUGCAAAGUUUCUGGCCCUGCUGAAGGAAGGUAUGCCUGCGUCAUGGAACGUAGAUGACCCAACCUACUACCUAGAAGCCUGCUAUCUAGACCCAGCCUUCUACCUAGAAGAAAGUUUAACAGCAGUGAAAACGGAAGGUGGAGGGAAGAAGCCACCCUGUGACCCAUUGUUCCUCACACAGAGGACAGAAUAGAUGCUGCUGGUCCUAGUUCCUCUGGACUGUCUACCUUGCUUCUGAAGGAGAUCGCCUGUGAGGUGAGAGAGCAUCCAUGGGCUGCCAUCAGGCAUCCCACUAAAUCCCUUUCAGCCCUUUCUGUUCUGUAAAUUGACACAUUGUAAACAUUUCUCUAGCUGAGUGCUGAAGAAGGCAGCAAUGAGUACAAAGCCGGCAGCUCAGGUCACCCCGGGGCAUGCCAAUAGCUGUGCCUAAUGACAAUAUG
ensembl:lncRNA